rnacentral:rRNA from 1 species
GACGAACGCUGGCGGCGUGCUUAACACAUGCAAGUCGAACGGAAAGGCCCUGCUUUUGUGGGGUGCUCGAGUGGCGAACGGGUGAGUAACACGUGAGUAACCUGCCCUUGACUUUGGGAUAACUUCAGGAAACUGGGGCUAAUACCGGAUAGGAGCUCCUGCUGCAUGGUGGGGGUUGGAAAGUUUCGGCGGUUGGGGAUGGACUCGCGGCUUAUCAGCUUGUUGGUGGUGUAGUGGCUUACCAAGGCUUUGACGGGUAGCCGGCCUGAGAGGGUGACCGGCCACAUUGGGACUGAGAUACGGCCCAGACUCCUACGGGAGGCAGCAGUGGGGAAUAUUGCACAAUGGGCGGAAGCCUGAUGCAGCAACGCCGCGUGCGGGAUGACGGCCUUCGGGUUGUAAACCGCUUUCGCCUGUGACGAAGCGUGAGUGACGGUAAUGGGUAAAGAAGCACCGGCUAACUACGUGCCAGCAGCCGCGGUGAUACGUAGGGUGCGAGCGUUGUCCGGAUUUAUUGGGCGUAAAGGGCUCGUAGGUGGUUGAUCGCGUCGGAAGUGUAAUCUUGGGGCUUAACCCUGAGCGUGCUUUCGAUACGGGUUGACUUGAGGAAGGUAGGGGAGAAUGGAAUUCCUGGUGGAGCGGGGGAAUGCGCAGAUAUCAGGAGGAACACCAGUGGCGAAGGCGGUUCUCUGGGCCUUUCCUGACGCUGAGGAGCGAAAGCGUGGGGAGCGAACAGGCUUAGAUACCCUGGUAGUCCACGCUGUAAACGGUGGGUACUAGGUGUGGGGUCCAUUCCACGGGUUCCGUGCCGUAGCUAACGCUUUAAGUACCCCGCCUGGGGAGUACGGCCGCAAGGCUAAAACUCAAAGGAAUUGACGGGGCCCCGCACAAGCGGCGGAGCAUGCGGAUUAAUUCGAUGCAACGCGUAGAACCUUACCUGGGUUUGACAUGGAUCGGGAGUGCUCAGAGAUGGGUGUGCCUCUUUUGGGGUCGGUUCACAGGUGGUGCAUGGCUGUCGUCAGCUCGUGUCGUGAGAUGUUGGGUUAAGUCCCGCAACGAGCGCAACCCUUGUUCACUGUUGCCAGCACGUUAUGGUGGGGACUCAGUGGAGACCGCCGGGGUCAACUCGGAGGAAGGUGGGGAUGACGUCAAGUCAUCAUGCCCCUUAUGUCCAGGGCUUCACGCAUGCUACAAUGGCUGGUACAGAGAGUGGCGAGCCUGUGAGGGUGAGCGAAUCUCGGAAAGCCGGUCUCAGUUCGGAUUGGGGUCUGCAACUCGACCUCAUGAAGUCGGAGUCGCUAGUAAUCGCAGAUCAGCAACGCUGCGGUGAAUACGUUCCCGGGGCU